GGGGCGGAGGGCCGCCGUGGCGUCGGGCCCCGGGCCGAGCCGGAGGUGGGAGCUCGGAGGCCAAGGCGCCCGCGGUUGUGGGUGAGCGUCCGUGUGGUCUGGUUCGGGCCAUGUCCGCGUGAGGACGCCGCCGCCGCCCGCGUCCAGACCCGGCCCGGCCCGCCGCGCACCAUGGGCUCCAUCCUGAGCCGCCGCAUCGCGGGCGUGGAGGACAUCGACAUCCAGGCGAACUCGGCCUAUCGCUACCCUCCGAAGUCCGGGAACUACUUCGCCUCUCACUUUUUCAUGGGAGGUGAGAAAUUCGACACGCCCCAUCCUGAAGGCUACCUCUUUGGAGAGAACAUGGAUCUGAACUUCCUGGGCAAUCGCCCGGUCCAGUUCCCUUACGUCACCCCUGCCCCCCAUGAGCCUGUGAAGACACUGAGGAGCCUGGUGAACAUCCGAAAAGACUCCCUUCGGCUUGUGAGGUACAAAGAUGGUGCCGAUAGCCCCUCCGAGGACAGCGAGAAGCCCCGCGUCCUCUACAGCCUGGAGUUCACCUUCGAUGCCGACGCCCGGGUGGCCAUCACCAUCUACUGCCAGGCGGCGGAGGAGUUCCUCAACGGGACAGCUGCGUACAGCCCCAAGAACCCGUCCCUGCAGUCCGAGACGGUCCGCUACAAGAGAGGGCUGAGCCGGCAGUUCUCCCUGCCCUCCUUCAAGAUCGACUUCUCCGAGUGGAAGGACGAGGAGUUGAACUUUGACCUGGACCGGGGCGUGUUUCCAGUGGUCAUCCAUGCCGUGGUGGACGAAGGAGACGUGGUGGAAGUGACAGGCCAUGCCCACGUGCUCUUGGCCGCCUUCGAAAAGCACGUCGAUGGCAGCUUCUCUGUGAAGCCUUUAAAGCAGAAGCAAAUCGUGGACCGGGUCAGCUACCUGCUGCAGGAGAUCUAUGGCAUCGAGAACAAGAACAACCAGGAGACGAAGCGCUCGGACGAGGAGAACAGUGACAACAGCAACGAGUGUGUGGUGUGCCUGUCGGACCUGCGGGACACGCUGAUCCUGCCGUGCCGCCAUCUGUGCUUGUGCAACUCCUGCGCCGACACGCUGCGCUACCAGGCCAGCAGCUGCCCCAUUUGCCGGCUGCCUUUCCGGGCGCUCCUGCAGAUCCGGGCGGUGAGGAAGAAGCCGGGAGCGCUGUCCCCCAUCUCCUUCAGCCCGGUUCUGGCCCAGAGCGUGGACCACGACGAGCACUCUUGUCCCUUUAAAAAAUCAAAGGCGCACCCCGCCUCACUGGCCAGCAAGAAACCUAAAAGGGAAACAAGCUCGGACAGCAUCCCACCUGGCUAUGAGCCCAUCUCCCUGCUCGAGGCGCUCAAUGGCCUUCGGGCCAUUUCCCCAGCCAUCCCUUCAGCCCCCCUUUAUGAAGAGAUCACCUAUUCGGGCAUCUCUGAUGGCCUGUCCCAGGCUAGUUGCCCACUUGCUGGCCUUGAUCGGAUCAUGGAAAGCAGCAACCAGAAAGGCAAGCCGAGGACCAAAUCCCCCGACAGUACCCUGCGGUCCCCAUCGUCCCCCAUCCACGAGGAGGAUGAGGAGAAGCUCUCCCCGGACUUGGAGGCCUCGCCCCCACGGGGAGGGGUGCGGCUGGCGCUGAGCAGCUCCCCAGAGCUGCUGGCACCAGGGGCGUUUCUCUGUUCCUUAGAGCCUUGUGACGGAGGAGGGCGAUGGGACAUCGUCCCUGAAGCAAGGAAGCCGAGCGUCCUCCAUUGAGAAUGUCCUGCAGGACGGCAACCCUGAGCCCUGCCGAGGCCCACCUGGCCCGCCUGCUGACAUUUACCUGCCAGCCCUGGGGCCCGACUCCUGCUCUGUUGGUGUAGAGGAGUAAGCCGGGAGGUGCUCUCCACCUGUGUGACCACAGCCGACAUUUCACGGAAAGCAGUUCCUGGCCCAUGCUUGGUGACCCCAGGCCUGCUCCUGGGGCCACCGAGCUGACCCCACAGGCUGCCCAAACAGGCAGAGGCUCUGGGGACCCCUGCCUCUCCUCCACGUGCUGUCAGCGGCUCUGGGGAACCUGGGUGGAGAACCCGGUGUCGGCACAGGGUUUCCCAGAUGUGCGUGGCAUGGAACAUUCCAGCCGGACUCCCACCCCGGUCCAGGAAACAAGGGCCCAGCCGUCUGGCCGGGGACACAUUGGCCCUGCAGCUACAGGCCUCCUCCCAGGAUGAUCCACCUCCGUGGAGACACCCUGCAGCCUCUGCACCACCGGCCUCCCCCGGCCCAUGCUUGGUGGCCCCAGGCAUGCUCCUGGGGCCACCGAGCUGACCCCACUCUGAGAGCCUGGCCAGCCUGGCAGCAUGGAGCCCUCAGCUCCCCAAACUUUGCCAAGGGGCCACCGGGACUCCAGCGUGACCCCCAGCCUCUCCUGUCUGCACGCCCUGUGUGGCCACUGGCUCCAAGGGGCCAUGCAACCCUUGAUUAAAGAGCACAGUGGACUGUCCCCUUUGACAAAACUUUUUCUACAGUUGAUGUAUUUGUAAAUGGUACAAGAUGAAGGACAGUAGCUUUCUGUCCCGGGCACUAAGCUCCAGGGGUUCCCCCGAGGCCCAUGUUGGCUGAGCAGUGUGGGCAAGGGCUGACCACUCACGUGUGGCCCAGAUGGGCUUUAACCCGGUUGGUGGGGUCUUGAUACCCCAAGAACUCAGCAAGCCAGCAGACAGAAAUUUAUUGGUGGGAGAAGUGCUAUCUUCACAGGAGAUGUUAAGGGGGCUGCUUGCUGCCGGGGGAGGGAAGGAGUGGGGUCCAGGUCAUGGUCAGUAAAGUAAACACAGUGCCUGUCGCCUACCCCACAUGUCUGUCCUUUGUGUCCCUGGCUCUCACUGCUGCUUUACGCCCUCGGAUGCUCUGGCCCUUCGGUGUGGGAGCCCCCCAGCCCCCAGCCCUUCCCCGCAGCCCCACUUGGCCCUCGGGGCAGUGGGGGUGUCUGCCCCCGAGCCAGGUCUGGGUCUGACCCAGGGGCUGAGGUGCAGACACACAGACAUUGGCAGCAGCGGGUGUCCGGUGGCACUUUCUCAGAGGGGGCUUUGCCUACAUCAGCAAUCCCUCCAGGUUAGGGGGUGCCCUUCCGCUUGGCCGGCAGCACUGAGGCCUACCUGCCCCAGGCCCUGAGUGGCUUCUCUGCUCCCCCUUUACUGACAUUUGUGUUUCUCUUUGAUUUGUUCUUUCUGGGAUACCUAUGGUGAGAUCUGCCUUGGGAGGAGGGUCCCAUCUCAGGGGACCUUAUUUUUAUUUUUUAAGCUGAACCUUUCAGGCAACAGGAGGGCCACGGGGGUGCCCAGGCAGGUGCACCAGGGUGGGAGCUGUACCCACAGGGACCUUGACACGAGCGGGUGGCUUUGUGUAGCUCUCUGGGGUGGGAAUGCUUUCCUGCAGAGGGAUUGGAUCCCCCAGGAGUGACCCUGGGGCAGCCAGCGGCAAUCCCCGGGGGCCCCAGCCUGCCUGCAGCCCUGGGCCCGUCCCAGUGCUGACGCUCGCCGCAUGGUGCUCCGGGGUGCCACCAGCAGCGGCCGGGCUGUGUUCCCUCCUGGCCGAGCUCAGGUGGCUUGUCUCGGCCUCCUGUCUCGCCUUCCCUGCCACCCACAGCGCACCCGUGCAGGCUGGCUGCCUGGCUCCCUCCCUGCACCCCUCUCCUCUCCACCAAACCCCAGCCUCUCGCCAUUGGUAUUGGUGCCAGUACUCUGUUUGAAGGUCGGUCUUGGCCUUUGACUUACAUGUGCUCAUUUGAUGUACUUAUUGGCUAGUUUUGGUUCAUUUUUACUGUAUAUUUAUAGUAAUAAAAUCAUGCAGCAAUA